rnacentral:rRNA from 1 species
UACGGAGGGUGCAAGCGUUAUCCGGAUUCACUGGGUUUAAAGGGUGCGUAGGUGGGCAGUUAAGUCAGUGGUGAAAUCUCCGGGCUCAACCCGGAAACUGCCAUUGAUACUAUCUGUCUUGAAUAUCGUGGAGGUAAGCGGAAUAUGUCAUGUAGCGGUGAAAAUGCUUAGAUAUGACAUAGAACACCAAUUGCGAAGGCAGCUUACUACCCGAAUAUUGACACUGAGGCACGAAAGCGUGGGGAUCAAAACAGG